GCGGCGGGGGCGCUCGCGCCGGCGGGCGUUUGCAUCGCGCGGCGGGGCGCCGAUUCCUCCGGCGAUGCGUUCGGCGCGCAUUCCGCCGCG
rnacentral:tRNA from 1 species